rnacentral:tRNA from 1 species
GCUCCCAUGGCGUUAUAGUGGUCACUGCGCUCGCUUUGCACGCGGGAGACCCGGGUUCGAAUCCCGGCGGGGUCA